rnacentral:rRNA from 1 species
UACAGAGGUCUCAAGCGUUGUUCGGAUUCAUUGGGCGUAAAGGGUGCGUAGGUGGCGGAGUAAGUUGGAUGUGAAAUCCCGGGGCUCAACCCCGGAACUGCAUUCAAUACUGCCUUGCUAGAGUACUGGAGAGGAGAUUGGAAUUUACGGUGUAGCAGUGAAAUGCGUAGAUAUCGUAAGGAAGACCAGUGGCGAAGGCGGAUCUCUGGACAGUUACUGACACUGAGGCACGAAGGCCAGGGGAGCAAACGGG